rnacentral:rRNA from 1 species
UACGUAGGGUGCAAGCGUUAAUCGGAAUUACUGGGCGUAAAGCGUGCGCAGGCGGUUGUGUAAGGCAGGUGUGAAAUCCCCGGGCUCAACCUGGGAACUGCAUUUGUGACUGCACAGCUGGAGUGCGGCAGAGGGGGAUGGAAUUCCGCGUGUAGCAGUGAAAUGCGUAGAUAUGCGGAGGAACACCGAUGGCGAAGGCAAUCCCCUGGGCCUGCACUGACGCUCAUGCACGAAAGCGUGGGGAGCAAACAGG